rnacentral:RNase_P_RNA from 1 species
AUGGCAGAACGUGUUAUCGCUUUUCCCUGAAAAACGGGAAGGGAGGAAAGUCCGGACAGGACAGGGCGCUGCGCUGUUGAAAGACAGAUGUUUGUAAGAGUAUGGCUCUGUAACAGAAAAGAACCGCCCGAUUUUUUUCGGGUAAGGGUGAAAAGGUGAGGUAAGAGCUUACCGCGUUUGUGGCAACAUAAACGGACAGUACAUCCCGCAGCCUGCAAGACCAUGUAAACCGGCGCUACAGGGUUGCCCGCCCGAUGCCGGAGGGUAGGUCGCAAAAGAUAAAUGAUAACGCUUCCGAAAGGAAUACAGAAUCCGGCUUACAGUUCUGCCAUUUAU